ACACAGUGAUGAGAGUUAGCUGGUGUAUAAUCUGCCAGCUCUAUCGUCAUUGUAU
rnacentral:pre_miRNA from 1 species